rnacentral:tRNA from 1 species
UCCCGUGUGGCCUAAUGGAUAAGGCAUCGGCCUCCUAAGCUGGGGACUGUGGGUUCCAGUCCCACCAGGAGUA